UCUUGAUCCAGUUUGGGGAUGUAAAACGGGUUACACCUUUUCCAGAGCCAGUAGUGUUCCCCGUUUAAUGGUUAGCUUCACCAUCUGUGUGGACCAGCCUGUGUUGUGGAUAGUGAAGGGUCAGCUUUCCUGGCAGAAUUCCGUAUCACCCCUAGAGGGAGCCAGCUCUCCGUUGCUGUGGAGUAAACUCCCUCCAGACUGAGCCACUGCGGAGUGUGUGUGUGUGUGUGUGUGUGUGUGUGAGAGAGAGAGAGAGAGAGAGAGAGAGGGAAAGAGAGACAGAGACACAAGGCAGGGGUGGAGAGUUAGGGCGGACAGACCGAGACAGAGAGAUCUAUUUAGAGCUCUGAUCUGGAAUUUUCCUCAGUCCUCAUUUGGUAUGAAGGUUAUGACCCCCAAGCCCAGGAGCUAACCCAGCCACACGUCAAGUGACAUGUAGGUUCCUGAGUAGGUGAGAUUUUAUCUCCUUCUCAACCCUCAUCCCUGAGAAGUAAUGUCUCCGUUCAUCUUCCACAGGUGGAAGAAUCUGGAAGUAGAUUCUUGAUAAACUGUGGCUCAGGAAGGCCAUGUUAUCAGCCAGGGUCACGAGUGUGGCGGCGUCCUUCAGCCAGAGCUGAGAGAGACUGGGUCAUGGGACUCAGUGACGGAAGAUUCUGGCAGGACCAUGUCCGCUCUGGACCAGAGAAGCCUCGCCAGCCACGACCACGUCUUCAGCUUACCUAUUUGGUAUUUGUAGGAAGGACUCCCAUGCACGGACUCCCACUGUAUCCCUCAUAAACAGACAACAUGUGAGUGCCUUUGCAGAAGAGGGUGUGUCUGAGAGCAGCCGGGUCAGCCAGGAGCUGUCGCCAGGAGACGCCCCCUCUCUGUCCCUUGCUGUCUGCUGAUCACCGCUGGAGGUGCUGCGUUCUGAGCUGGUUUGUCCCCCAGUAGUUUUUGUGUUUCACUUGGCAAGGAAAGGGGAGGAAGGAACCCUCUUCUGAGUCAUUUCACGGCUGGUGGUUUUUUCACAGAAAGACGUGUCUUUGUUGCUCUUGUUUAAACGUCGGCGUGCAGGUCCACACGGCACCUGCCCAUGGUUCCCUUGCCUCAUUCCUGAGCAUCUCAGGUAGAAGGUGACACAGCUGCAGGUGAGGAAGGCCUGUGGGAGAACUCGGAAGACCCCUACCCCGUGGCGUGUGGCAGUCUGUUGUCAUCGGUGCACAGCGGACGAUUUUCACAUCUAGCUCCUGGUUCCGUAACCUUGUGUACUUGAAGUCCAACAAGAUGAAGGAAGUCAGUUUCCUUGCAGUGAUUUUAAGUUGUGAUGGAGUUUUAAGUUGAUAUGAGGGAACGUGUCCUAAUUCUUCUGUCCUGGGAAGCAUGUAAUGUUAAUGUUCCAUUCCAUGUGUGUAUAUGUGUAUAUAUAUAUAAAUAUGCAGUAUGUAUAUACAUAUAUAUGAAUACAGGUAUUUUUACUUAAUCUAUAAAAUGUAGUAAAAAGAUGUUGGUUUCUCACUUCUCUUUUUUCUCUUUUUUUUCUUUUCCC
rnacentral:lncRNA from 1 species